rnacentral:rRNA from 1 species
CCAGACUCCUACGGGAGGCAGCAGUGGGGAAUAUUGGGCAAUGGGCGCAAGCCUGACCCAGCAACGCCGCGUGAAGGAAGAAGGCCCUCGGGUUGUAAACUUCUUUUGUCAGGGACGAAGCAAGUGACGGUACCUGACGAAUAAGCCACGGCUAACUACGUGCCAGCAGCCGCGGUAAUACGUAGGUGGCAAGCGUUAUCCGGAUUUACUGGGUGUAAAGGGCGUGUAGGCGGGGAAGCAAGUCAGAUGUGAAAUUCCAGGGCUCAACCCUGGAACUGCAUUUGAAACUGUUUUUCUUGAGUGAUGGAGAGGCAGGCGGAAUUCCGUGUGUAGCGGUGAAAUGCGUAGAUAUACGGAGGAACACCAGUGGCGAAGGCGGCCUGCUGGACAUUAACUGACGCUGAGGCACGAAGGCCAGGGGAGCGAAAGGGAUUAGAUACCCUUGUAUUC